UAGUCGGAACCCGAAAAGACAAAAUAGAGUAGGGA
rfam:Porphyromonadaceae COT-184_OH4590 strain COT-184_OH4590 contig_44, whole genome shotgun sequence.